rnacentral:tRNA from 1 species
CGGGAGUUAGCUCAAUUGGUAGAGCGCGUGUAAUAAUCGAAGGUCUAGCACAUAGACCACGACGGCAUUAUGAUGAUUUCUUGGGACACGAAGUUAUAGGUUCAAAUCCUGUACUCCCGACCA